UUUUUAUGAUGAUAAAACAUGUCAAAAAGCAAGUAGGGACAUGAGAAUAUAAAAUAUGUUCGAGUUUAUAAUAUCUGAAAAAA
rnacentral:snoRNA from 1 species